CCUACGGGAGGCUGCAGUGAGGAAUAUUGGUCAAUGGGCGCGAGCCUGAACCAGCCAAGUCGCGUGAGGGAAGACGGCCCUACGGGUUGUAAACCUCUUUUGCCGGGGAGCAAAGGGCGCCACGCGUGGCGCCACUGUGAGUACCCGGAGAAAAAGAAUCGGCUAACUCCGUGCCAGCAGCCGCGGUAAUACGGGGGUUGCGAGCGUUAUCCGGAGUGAUUGGGUUUAAAGGGUGCGCAGGCGGAGGGGUAAGUCAGCGGUAAAUUUGAGGGGCUCAACCCCUUCCCGCCAUUGAAACUGGCGCUCUUGAGUGGAAGAGAAGUAUGCGGAAUGCGUGGUGUAGCGGUGAAAUGCAUAGAUAUCACGCAGAACCCCGAUUGCGAAGGCAGCAUACCGGCUUCCAACUGACGCUGAUGCACGAAAGCGUGGGGAUCGAACAGGAUUAGAUACCCGGGUAGUC
rnacentral:rRNA from 1 species